rnacentral:rRNA from 1 species
CAGCCGUAAACAAUGUGCGUUAGGUGUGUCGGUAACCACGUGUUACUGAUGCGCCGAAGAGAAAUCGUGAAACGCACCACCUGGGAAGUACGGUCGCAAGGCUGAAACUUAAAGGAAUUGGCGGGGGAGCACCACAACAGGUGGAGCCUGCGGUUUAAUUGGAUUCAACGCCGGACAUCUCACCGGAUAAGACAGCAAUAUGUAGGCCAGGCUGAAGACCUUGCCUGAAUCGCUGAGAGGAGGUGCAUGGCGUAGACGUCU